rnacentral:rRNA from 1 species
GGUGAACGCUGGCGGCGUGCCUAAGACAUGCAAGUCGAGCGGGGCAGGUUUAUACCUGUUCAGCGGCGGACGGGUGAGUAACGCGUGGGUGACCUACCCGGAAGAGGCGGACAACCUGGGGAAACCCAGGCUAAUCCGCCAUGUGGUCCUGUCCUGUGGGGUAGGACUAAAGGGUGGAUAGCCCGCUUCCGGAUGGGCCCGCGUCCCAUCAGCUAGUUGGUGGGGUAAAGGCCCACCAAGGCGACGACGGGUAGCCGGUCUGAGAAGAUGGCCGGCCACAGGGGCACUUAGACACGGGCCCCACUCCUACGGGAGGCAGCAGUUAGGAAUCUUCCGCAAUGGACGGAAGUCUGACGGAGCGACGCCGCUUGGAGGAGGAAGCCCUUCGGGGUGUAAACUCCUGAACUGGGGACGAAAGCCCUGUGUAGGGGGAUGACGGUACCCAGGUAAUAGCGCCGGCCAACUCCGUG